GUUGAAAAAAGCUAACGCGUUAAGUGCACCGCCUGGGGAGUACGGCCGCAAGGCUAAAACUCAAAGGAAUAGACGGGGACCCGCACAAGCGGUGGAACAUGUGGUUUAAUUCGAUAGUACGCGAGGAACCUCACCUGGGUUCAACUACUAGCUGCAAGCUUUGGGAAACCAAAGACGCCUUCGAGGGUGCUAGAUAGGUGCUGCAUGGUUGCCGUCAGCUCGUGCCGUGAGGUGUACCGUUAAGUCGGGAAACGAGCGCAACCCUCGUCUUGUGUUAAAUGUACACAAGAGACUGCCCGUGUAAACGGGAGGAAGGGGAGGACGACGUCAAAUCAGCAUGGCUCUUACGUCCAGGGCUACACACAUGUUACAAUGGCCGGUACAACGGGUUGCUAAGCCGCGAGGUGGAGCUAAUCCUAUAAAACCGGUCUCAGUUCGGAUUGAAGGCUGCAAUUCGCCUUCAUGAAGCCGGAAUCGCUAGUAAACGCGCAUCAGCCACGGCGCGUUGAAUACGUUCUCGGGUCUUGUACUCACCGCCCGUCACACCACGAAAGCUGGCAAUGCCCAAAGGCUCGCAAGGGACUAAGGCAGGGUCAGUGAUCAGGGUGAAGUCGUAACAAGGCAUCCGUAGCGGAAGCUGUGGAUG
rnacentral:rRNA from 1 species